rnacentral:rRNA from 1 species
UGGGGAAUCUUCCGCAAUGGACGAAAGUCUGACGGAGCAACGCCGCGUGAGUGAUGACGGUUUUCGGAUUGUAAAGCUCUUUUAAUCGGGACGAAUGGUUCGUGUGCAAAUAGUGCAUAGUCAUGACGGUACCGGAAUAGAAAGCCACGGCUUACUACGUGCCAGCAGCCGCGGUAAUACGUAGGUGGCAAGCGUUGUCCGGAAUUAUUGGGCGUAAAGCGUGAGCAGGCGGACUAGCCAAUCAGUCUUAAAAGUUCGGGGCUUAACCCCGUGAUGGGAAUGAGACUACUAGUCUAGAGUAUCGGAGAGGAAAGUGGAAUUCCUAGGGUGGCGGAGAAAUGCGUAGAUAUUAGAAAGAGCACCAGUGGGGAAGACGACUUUCUGAACGAGCACAGACGCUGAGGCGCGAAAACCAGGGGGGCGAACGGG